UUAGGGUUAAUAGCCGGAAAAUACACGAACUAUUUUGAGAUUUGCAUAUUGCACAUGACCUUCAAAAUUAGCCCCAGAAUACAUGACCUUUCAAUUUAAUCGCAAUUUGCACCCGGCGAAAGUUCCGGCCACUCUUAUGUUUGACCGGCAAUGACGUGGAAAAAAUUUUAAACUACGUGGCAUUACACUUGGCAUUUUUUACACAGUGGAAUGCCACGCGUUCAAAACGACGUCGUUUUGAUAGGGAGAAAAAAUAAAAAAAAUAAAGAAAAAUGUCUUCUUCUUCAAUCUCCUGCCCCGCCGCCGUUCAUCCCCGCCGCUGCGACUUCAUCUCCUGCCGCCGCCGCCGUUCAUCCCCGCUGCCCAUACCCACCUGCACUUCCGCCGUCGCCCGUCCCCACACCCUCCCUUCUAUCUUUCUCUCUCUCGCCGUCUCUCCAAGAAGCCGUGGUACUCCACUGAAUCCCGAUUUGAGGGAAGGUCAGCCUCGCCGCCGCGGCACCUACUCCGCGAGCGAGGUAAUGUUUCCAGCGCCAGGCGCCGCCGCACGGCUCACCUCGAGAGCAGCACCGCCGUGACGUCGAGGCGGCCCAUAUCCUCCUCUUUCUCCGGCGAAAUACAGCAAGCUGGCCCCUUCUUCCCUUUUUCUUCUUCGGCGAUUUCGCCGGGUCUUCCAAGCCCUAGAUCCCCAAAAUUUCCACCCCUCUCUUAUUUAUGUCAAUAUCCUUUUACUGGGCUUCAAUUACUACCCUUUUCUUCUCAAUUUCAGCCAAAGAACAUGCUGUUGGAAAUAUGGUUUUGGAAAUAUGGUUUUAUGCCAUAUCUGAAAAUUAUUAUUUAAUUAAAUAUUUAUUAUUUAAUUAAAAUAAUUAUUGGAUGUUAUUCUACAUCUCGAGUAGAUCAACGUGAUAUACUUGAAGUCUCAAAACCGAUUUCCGAUGAGUGAGAUAUUGUAUGUCAAAGUUUGGAUGUUGAAGAGGGAAAAUAAAUGUUAUCCCACAUUGGAAAACAUAGAGAUGUUUUUCAUGUAUAAGAAUAGCAAAGCACAUGGAGUUGAUAAAUUGACUUGUGGGCUUGCUAGUGGGCUUGAUCUAAGUACUAGCCUCGCGCGCACACACAC
rnacentral:lncRNA from 1 species